rnacentral:lncRNA from 1 species
AAGGUUAUGGUUGGGUCUGAACUUGGUAGUUCAGGGUCUGAUUCGUACGAUUGCUUUUCGAGCCCAAACCGUCGAUUUUUAAUUUUUUUAUUAAUUUUUUUAUAUUGAGUUUGAGUGUUGUGUAUAUUUUUCCUUUAUAAUUACAUAAUUAAUUUACUAUAUUACCUUUAGUUUUAUUGUUGAAGACUAUAAUAGAAAUAAAU